AGCAGCCGCGGUAAUUCCAGCUCCAAUAGCGUAUAUUAAAGUUGUUGCAGUUAAAAAGCUCGUAGUUGAAUUUCGGGGUUAGUAGGUUGGUCAUGCCUCUGGUAUGUACUGGUCUCACUGAUUCCUCCUUCCUGAUGAGCCGUAAUGCCAUUAAUUUGGUGUUGCGGGGAAUUUGGACUGUUACUUUGAAAAAUUAGAGUGUUUAAAGCAAGCUAACGCUUGAAUACAUUAGCAUGGAAUAAUGAAAUAGGACGUUCGAUCCUAUUUUGUUGGUUUCUAGGAUUGACGUAAUGAUUAAUAGGGAUAGUUGGGGCAUUAGUAUUCAAUUGUCAGAGGUGAAAUUCUUGGAUUUAUUGAAGACUAACUACUGCGAAAGCAUUUGCCAAGGAUGUUUUCAUUAAUCAAGACGAAAGUUAGGGGAUCGAAGACGAUCAGAUACCGUCGUAGUCUUAACCAUAAACUAUAGCCGACUAGGGAUCGGAUGAUGUUAAUUUUAUG
rnacentral:rRNA from 1 species